rnacentral:rRNA from 1 species
CCCCGGCUUAACCGGGGAGGGUCAUUGGAAACUGGGGAAACUUUGAGUGCAGAAGAGGAGAGUGGAAUUUCCACGUGUAGCGGUGAAAUGCGUAGAGAUGUGGAGGAACACCAGUGGCGAAGGCGACUCUCUGGUCUGUAACUGACGCUGAGGAGCGAAAGCGUGGGGAGCGAACAGGAUUAGAUACCCUGGUAGUCCACGCCGUAAACGAUGAGUGCUAAGUGUUAGGGGGUUUCCGCCCCUUAGUGCUGCAGCUAACGCAUUAAGCACUCCGCCUGGGGAGUACGGUCGCAAGACUGAAACUCAAAGGAAUUGACGGGGGCCCGCACAAGCGGUGGAGCAUGUGGUUUAAUUCGAAGCAACGCGAAGAACCUUACCAGGUCUUGACAUCCUCUGACAAUCCUAGAGAUAGGACGUCCCCUUCGGGGGCAGAGUGACAGGUGGUGCAUGGUUGUCGUCAGCUCGUGUCGUGAGAUGUUGGGUUAAGUCCCGCAACGAGCGCAACCCUUGAUCUUAGUUGCCAGCAUUCAGUUGGGCACUCUAAGGUGACUGCCGGUGACAAACCGGAGGAAGGUGGGGAUGACGUCAAAUCAUCAUGCCCCUUAUGACCUGGGCUACACACGUGCUACA